AGCUCCAAUAGCGUAUAUUAAAGUUGUUGCAUAUAAAAAGCUCGUAGUUGGAUUUCUGUUGAGCUCGUCCGAUCCGCCCUCUGGGUGAGUAUAUGGAACGGGCUGUACUUUUUCUUGGGGAACGUAUCUGCACUUGACUGUGUGGUGCGGUAUCCAGGGCUUUUACUUUGAGGAAAUUAGAGUGUGUCAAGCAGGCAUGCGCCUUGAAUACAUUAGCAUGGAAUAAAAAUAUAUGACCUCGGUUCUAUUUUGUUGGUUUCUAAAGCUGAGGUAAUGAUUAAUAGGGAUAGUUGGGGGCAUUCGUAUUUAACUGUCAGAGGUGAAAUUCUUGGAUUUGUUAAAGACUGAUUACUGCGAAAGCAUUUGCCAAGGAUGUUUUCAUUGAUCAAGAACGAAAGUA
rnacentral:rRNA from 1 species